rnacentral:tRNA from 1 species
GAGGGUAUAGCUCAAAUGGUAGAGCACAUGCUUAGCAUGCAUGAGGUCCUGGGUUCGAUACCCAGCACCUCUG